AAGGAUUAAUAAUUAAUCACACCGAAUAAAUACAUCUCUUAUGAGGUGAUUAAACAAUUGUUAAAAUUUUAAUUAAAAUAAUUGAAA
rnacentral:misc_RNA from 1 species